GUGACGGCGUGCCUUUUGAAGAAUGAGCCUGCGAGUUAGUGUUACGUCGCGAGGUUAACCCGUGUGGGGAAGCCGUAGCGAAAGCGAGUCUGAACAGGGCGUUGCAGUGGCGUGAUCUAGACCCGAAGCGAAGUGAUCUACCCAUGGCCAGGUUGAAGCGACGGUAAGACGUCGUGGAGGACCGAACCCACUUCAGUUGAAAAUGGAGGGGAUGAGCUGUGGGUAGGGGUGAAAGGCCAAUCAAACUUCGUGAUAGCUGGUUCUCCCCGAAAUGCAUUUAGGUGCAGCGUUGCGUGUUUCUUACCGGAGGUAGAGCUACUGGAUGGCUAAUGGGCCCUACAAGGUUACUGACGUCAGCCAAACUCCGAAUGCCGGUAAGUGAGAGCGCAGCAGUGAGACUGUGGGGGAUAAGCUUCAUAGUCGAGAGGGAAACAGCCCAGACCACCAACUAAGGCCCCUAAGCGUGUGCUAAGUGGGAAAGGAUGUGGAGUUGCGAAGACAACCAGGAGGUUGGCUUAGAAGCAGCCAUCCUUAAAAGAGUGCGUAAUAGCUCACUGGUCAAGUGAUUCCGCGCCGACAAUGUAGCGGGGCUCAAGUACACCGCCGAAGUUGUGGCAUUCAGAUAUUAGCCAAGCCCUUGUGGUUCAGGCGUCUGGAUGGGUAGGGGAGCGUCGUGUGGGCGGUGAAGUCGCGGUGGAAACCAGCGGUGGAGCCUACACGAGUGAGAAUGCAGGCAUGAGUAGCGAAAGACGGGUGAGAAACCCGUCCGCCGGAUGAUCAAGGGUUCCAGGGUCAAGCUAAUCUGCCCUGGGUAAGUCGGGACCUAAGGCGAGGCCGACAGGCGUAGUCGAUGGACAACGGGUUGAUAUUCCCGUACCGGCGAAAAACCGCCCAUGCUGAACAGGGGAUACUAACCGCCCGAGACCUGCCCGACCGUCCUUUGGACGGAAGGGUUUUGGUGGAGCGCGGGACCUGAUCCUGGGAGGCAAGCGUAUUAACAGGUGUGACGCAGGAAGGUAGCCGAGCCGGGCGAUGGUUGUCCCGGUCUAAGGAUGUAGGGCGAACGGUAGGCAAAUCCGCCGUUCAUGUGCCUGAGAUCUGACGGGACCCCCGUAUGGGGGGAUUCGGUGAUCCUAUGCUGCCGAGAAAAGCAUCGACGCGAGGUUUUAGCCGCCCGUACCCCAAACCGACACAGGUGAUCAGGUAGAGAAUACUAAGGCGAUCGAGAGAAUUAUGGUUAAGGAACUCGGCAAAAUGCCCCCGUAACUUCGGGAGAAGGGGGGCCCCAACCUUGAACACCACUUGCUGGUGGGAGGGGAUCGGGGCCGCAGAGACCAGGGGGAAGCGACUGUUUACUAAAAACACAGGUCCGUGCGAAGUCGCAAGACGAUGUAUACGGACUGACUCCUGCCCGGUGCUGGAAGGUUAAGAGGACCGGUUAGCCGCAAGGCGAAGCUGAGAAUUUAAGCCCCAGUAAACGGCGGUGGUAACUAUAACCAUCCUAAGGUAGCGAAAUUCCUUGUCGGGUAAGUUCCGACCUGCACGAAUGGAGUAACGACUUCCCCGCUGUCUCAACCAUAAACUCGGCGAAAUUGCAGUACGAGUAAAGAUGCUCGUUACGCGCAGCAGGACGGAAAGACCCCGAGACCUUUACUAUAGUUUGGUAUUGGUGUUCGGAGUGGCUUGUGUAGGAUAGGUGGGAGACGUUGAAGCCGUGACGCCAGUCAUGGUGGAGUCAUCGUUGAAAUACCACUCUGGUCACUUUGGACAUCUAACUUCGGCCCGUAAUCCGGGUCAGGGACAGUGCCUGAUGGGUAGUUUAACUGGGGCGGUUGCCUCCUAAAAAGUAACGGAGGCGCCCAAAGGUUCCCUCAGCCUGGUUGGCAAUCAGGUGUCGAGUGUAAGUGCACAAGGGAGCUUGACUGUGAGAGAGACAUCUCGAGCAGGGACGAAAGUCGGGACUAGUGAUCCGGCGGUACAUUGUGGAAUGGCCGUCGCUCAACGGAUAAAAGGUACCUCGGGGAUAACAGGCUGAUCUUGCCCAAGAGUCCAUAUCGACGGCAUGGUUUGGCACCUCGAUGUCGGCUCGUCGCAUCCUGGGGCUGGAGUAGGUCCCAAGGGUUGGGCUGUUCGCCCAUUAAAGCGGUACGCGAGCUGGGUUUAGAACGUCGUGAGACAGUUCGGUCCCUAUCCGCUGCGCGCGCAGGAAAUUUGAGAAGGGCUGUCCUUAGUACGAGAGGACCGGGACGGACGAACCUCUGGUGUGUCAGUUGUACUGCCAAGUGCACCGCUGAUUAGCUACGUUCGGAUGGGAUAACCGCUGAAAGCAUCUAAGCGGGAAGCUCGCUUCGAGAUGAGAUUUCCAUACACCUUGUGUGUGAGAGGCCCCCAGCCAGACCACUGGGUUGAUAGGCCGGAUGUGGAAGCGAGGACUAACGACUCGUGAAGCUGACCGGUACUAAUAGGCCGAUAACUUACAC
rnacentral:rRNA from 1 species